GUUCCCGGUGGUGCAGCCCCGUCUGGGUGAGCAUGCUGGAGGAGUGCCUGCAGGAGGCUGCUUGGGCAGGAACACUGAAAGCGGUACAAGAUUUCAUGGACGGACACUGACGGCAAGAGAUGUGAUCGAGGGCACUGGAUCAAGAGGCAUACGGCCGCACGCGAAGGCAAGCAGGUGCAGACGGUGAUGUCUCGGAAGAAGGGAUCCAGAUGAGUGAACUGUGCAAGAACACCAGGAAGAACGAAGACCCUGAGGAGGCGAGCAGCACGCUCUGCCGCCGUGCACGGCUGCUGCGGUUUACGUAAAGAAUGCUUUCUGGGGUCCACGGAGCAGGAACAGUAAGCCAGGGUGGCUGUAAGGAGCCUUCUCUGGGGAAUGUGAGGCAGGGUCCCAAGCGAUUCAGGCAAAAUGGUGGGAGCUUGGGUGGGGGGACCCUGCCUGGAGACCCCAGCGCCCACAGUUCCCAGUGGUGGCCCGCAGCCAGGCACCAAAGCCGCCUGCCUUUCUAACGUUUCUGUUCUAGACAAACAAGACAAGGCUUUAACUCAAAUGCCCCCAAAGACUAAACCAAGGCCUUCUGUGACAUUCUUGGAAGGCAGGGAACAAGCAGGUUCCUGAAGGUGACAACAGGAGAGACUGAGCCGUUAGCCCAGACCCAAAGGCAAGGAUUUGGGCAGAGAAAGCUGACUCAAGCUGCAGCCCUCAGCCAUCACCUCCCGCUAGCGCAGUGGCCUGUGGCCUGUGACCCGUCUUCGGCGUUCCUCCAUCUCUGCACUGGACCAGCCAGCUGGACUCUCUGGGUCACAACCGCCUUCUUGCGACCCCUCACCAUGCA